GCCGGGUGCUGGGGUGCACGCCUGUGAUCCCAGCCACCUGAGAGGCUAAGGCAGGAGGAUUGCAAGUUUAAGGCCAGCCUCAUUAACUCAGUGAGACCCUAAGCAACUUAGUGAGACCCUGUCUCAA
rnacentral:sRNA from 1 species